UACGUAGGUGGCAAGCGUUGUCCGGAAUUAUUGGGCGUAAAGCGCGCGCAGGCGGUCCUUUAAGUCCGAUGUGAAAGCCCACGGCUCAACCGUGGAGGGUCAUUGGAAACUGGGGGACUUGAGUGCAGGAGAGAAGAGUGGAAUUCCACGUGUAGCGGUGAAAUGCGUAGAGAUGUGGAGGAACACCAGUGGCGAAGGCGACUCUUUGGCCUGUAACUGACGCUGAGACGCGAAAGCGUGGGGAGCGAACAGG
rnacentral:rRNA from 1 species